GAACAUGUACAUAUGUGAGUUAAUACAUACAUAUGUAGCUCAGAUCUCUUGACGUUUGAAUCACAAAUAAAUAUGGUACCGAGCAGCAUGUAGCUUCGUACGUACGAUAUGUCUGUCAUAAGUUCGGCCUACAUUAUGAAAAUGUCGCUCGUUCAAAAUUUCAUUUGUAAGAAGUGAAGAAUGAAUCGAUUGUAAUAUAUUUUAGCAGAAAUGACAUCAUUAAGCAACGUAUUGAAAGCCAUAGAGGCUUUAAAAACAACUCAUGAAUCGAACGUUCUUCUGUCAGAUUCGAGCGCAAGAAAAGACAAGAUAGCAUGUUGCGUGACCAUAGCAGAAGGGAUGUGUUCACCAAGUGUCAAAUUGACAGCCAAAUUUCCUCAAGUUCUUAGUCUUUCAAUUGAAACGUUAUUAUUAUUGUGCAAUGACGAUGAAUCCAAUGUCAGGAUGAUAGCAGAUGAAACUCUGAAUAAAAUCAUACGGGCAAUGACUGACAGCAAUAUUGUCAAAGUUCAAAUAGAACUCUAUAAUGAGAUUAAAAGGAAUGGACCAGCUAGGACAUUAAGAGCUGCUCUUUGGAGAUUUGGGCAUCUUAGUCACAUGAUACGUCCUACAAGAGGGAAAGCAUACGUCUCUAAUCUAAUACCUUGCAUAGUAGCUAUUGCUCAUCGGUCUGAGGAAGCUGUAAUCGAAACAUUGUCUCAGUCAUUAGCACUAAUUACAAAAGCUUUGGGGCCAUUUAUGACGGACAAUGAUGUUAAGACUUUACUGAAAGCAUUCUUUGAAAACGUGUCUUCAGUACAAGCAGUAUUUCGCAGAGCAGCUGCAAACAUGAUUCUGGCAACUUGCUUAAAUUGCAGGAAGCCACAAUACUUUUUGAAUUAUGUAUUAAAGCAUCUCUUAGGUAUUGUGGUACCCAUGAAUGAGGACACGGGUGGUGUAGCUACUAUUAUUGGCAUCUUUGGUUGUGUCAGAAUCAUUUUACCACACAUAAGCAACCCUACAGAGCUUCAAGAUGACGAAAUUACGGAGAUAGAUAGCUUGCUACAAAUCUAUGAACUAUGUUUGCAUUACGCGAAAUGGCAUUCCGAUCAUAACGUUAUAAACGCAGCUUUAGAAACUUUGACGCAGCUUUUGAAGUCACCGCCGAGAGCUCUAGUAUCUUUAUUGUUAUCGAAUCAAGGAAUAACGUCUAGUAGAAUAGCAUUGAAUCAAAAUGAUGCAAUGCUGUCGCUGAGUCAAAUGAGUAUCUCGAGCGCUAACACUGCUUGCGGACAAAAUUCGGAAUCCACCUUGAAUUUGCUCGAUUCGGAAAUGCCGGAAAUAAAUCCAGAGAUAGAAAAGUGGAUAUUGGACUCUGAGACUGCGCCCACGUUGGCGAAGAGUGCACAAACUCAGAAGGAAUGCUCCAGCGAUAUUAUAGAAAUGAAAGGAAAGGAAUUGGACUAUGGUAGUUUGAAAAUAGGUGCUAUAGACAACGAUGCUAUAGAAGAGGGUAGUGACGUUGGCAGCGAGUUAGGAAAGUCAGAGAAGAUCUCUUCGUUGACACAGAAUGAAAUAAAAGAGCAGGAUUGCCUGGAGGAGAUUGCAUCGUCUAUUUCUACACCUAAGAAGCUUUCCUUGGAUUUCUCGCUAAAGGAGAUAGACAUUGGAACGUUUACCGAUGCUGACAUGCCUCUGAAAUUCUGCUGUCGUUAUUUGGUAUCCUCUUUUCUGUUAACCGGCACCGCUGGCCAUGUGAUGCCAGACAAGUACUUUCGCGUUAGCGUGAAAUCGCUUGCUCUGAACUGCCUCGCAUAUAUUUUGAAGCUCUGCCCGAAUUUGCUAUUGAUGCCUGUCGCCAAAGAACCGGGUCAUGCCGAGAAUGAACAAGCAAUAACAGACAUCUUAUUAUUUGCAAAUCAUUCAGAUCCUCAGAUUAGGGGGAACAUCUCCAUGAUCAUUGGUACCUUCUUAAAGUCCGUGUUUACGCAGCACGGUGGAUCCUUUAAAAAUUUUGAGACAGAGUGCGCGAAAAUGAGAUUGAACGGGACCGUGUCCUUAGAGAAUUUAGUGAAGUUGCUUCUAGAGGGAUUAGAGGACGAUUCUGCAACGACGUGUCGGCAAACGCUAAUGGCGCUUAGUCUGUGUCUGCCAGAAUUGUUAGAAUCCGUCGACAAUCAUUAUGGAGUUACCGUCCUAACUGCAUUACCUCAACUAGUAAAGAAUCCAUAUUUUUUGGUGAAAGUGAAAUUAGUAGAACUAUUGAGUGAGAUAUCGUACGUUACCAUAGAACACAUAACUGGGGGAUCGAUGUUUCGAGAACAUUUCAUGAACGUCAUCAUGACGCUGUUAGGCGAUCAGGACCAAAGGAUUAGACACGCUGCGGCGGAUGCUAUUGUGAAGAGCAUUCCACUGCUAUAUUUUCAACAACCUCAUGAGGAUGCUGUCACGAGAAGAGCUGUGCAGUACACCGAACAAUAUCUGAGCGCUGUGAGCGCGAGCAGUUUGGAGCUGUCGUCCUGCCAAGAGAAGCAGAAGUUGUACGUGAAGACGACGAUACAGCCAUUCGCGUCUUUAAAUUUUCGUAAUGGGACACAGUAUCAUCCAAAUGUAGAGUAUUCUCUGUCCAUUAUAGUGAAUAUGUUAGCAGAAAUCCUCGGGGUACAGUCGUCUAAGUACUUAGUAUACGGUUGCUGCGAGGCUCUAUUCCACUUAAGCGAUGUGUACACCGUCACUGUCUAUAUUAGAGGAUGGGACUGCAUUCUGCCAAAAACGUUGCUGAAGAAGUCUUAUAAGAAGAACGGUAGCCGGCUGGAUAUCAGCGAAUUGAGUUUCACCAGCGAUGUUAUGCCGUCUUCUGUCAGUGAUAGUCUCCUGUCUCUAGCUCUACCGUUGCUCUCCUCUUCCCCCAUCAGUCUAGACCUAUCUACGCACCGACAUUUGAUUCUACUUGCUGGCAACCUGGCUUCGGGUCUAGCCUUUUGCAAUUUUAAACCGCACGACCCCUCUAAGAACUCGAGUACAACUAUUAGGGACAAACAGAUAGAGCUAUUGCUGACGCAUGUUACCAGAGUAUUGAACAUAUACGUUCACAUCAUUGACGAGGUGCAAUUGUUGCAACCGAGUGCUAAAACGACACUGACGACCUUGGCGUCCACGCAAACGUUGUCCCCGAAGAAGAAAACGGUAGGCGAGCAGAAGUCGAAGGAGAAAGGGGAGCGGUUCGUUAAACUGAGAUUCGGUAAAGAACAGAUAGGCGCCUUUGCUUCUGUGCCCCAUUACAUGAAGAUGUACAACAUCCUGAAGGCGGCGCACUCCAACUACUUGGUCACCUUGGAAUCUGACGCCAGCGAGAUGUACGUGUCGUUGUUAAACGCGGUGCUAGAUGUUCUAUCUCAGAUUCUUGAAAUAAUCUCCUACUGCGAAGGAGCUAAGAUCACGGAGGAGAUUCUGUAUUACCUGCAAACCACUGUCGUUCUUUCGCCAACGUCGACUGUUCAAUGCGUACAGCAGCUGCUUAAAUGUCUCAGCAGCACGAACGUCUAUGCACAGUGGAAUGAAACAGAGGGCCAAAGGAAUAUAGAUAGAAUUGCUAUACUAAGGGACGAUAUUAAAGGGUUCUAUAAUCACUGCUUCCAAAAUCCUGCCAGGCAAAUGGCGGACACUAUUAAAUCUAUGGGGAACAAUUGCAGGGGCGAAAAUGAACUUGAUGCAGGGUGGGUAGGAUUAUUGCGUAGAGAAGGAUAUAGAAAACUGUUUUCAAGUUACAAGAACUUCUCCAUAGGCUCAUUCAUUCGCCUCUUCGAACCCAUGGUAAUCAAAUCUUUGAAGCAAUACACGGUGACGACCAGCGUGCCAUUGCAGUGCCAAGUUUUAAUGUUGCUCAGUCAGUUGAUGCAGCUGUGGGUGAAUUACUGUCUGUUGGACUCCGAGAGAAUAUUUAUAGGGUUCGUGCUAAAGCAGUUCGAGUUCAUCGAGGAGGGCCACGUGCAACGAACGGAGAACCUUCUACCAAAGAUAUUCAACUUUUUGGUGCAUCUGUCCUACGAGAAGAAUCACUGUACAGCGAUCAUAGGAGUCCCAAAAAUCAUUCAACUGUGCGACGGUUUAUUGGCUAGCGGUCAGCCAGCUCUCACGCAUUGCAUACCGGCUUUAACACCAGUCGUGGAGGACGUAUUCUUAAUCAGAAACGCGAGCUCCAACCCGAUCGAGCAGAGAGAACUGGAGACGACAAGGGAAGUAUUGAUCUCGAUGCUUUUACGUCUUGCGGAGUAUUAUCAGAUCAUCGAGUUGUUGGCGUUAUGCCUGACAGAAUCUAGAUUUAGCGGCGAUGGGAACGGCGAGGAGAAAUGGAGGAGAUGGUCCAGACUGACGAUGGACACUGUCUUACCGAUGCUGACUGCUGGUAAAAUUCGGAUAGAAUCGGAGCGUGCUCACGUGGCUCUGGUGAAGCUAUUCGCUGCGAUAUCGCCUACGGUCUUCCGGCCAGUCGAUCCUCUAUUGAAAGUCUUGCUGGUCGCGCCGGAAGAUACCCUGGACGCGUCCAUGGUGAAGUUGAAACGAUGGCUGGGAAUGAUCAACGUUGUUCUACUAUCGUUGAUUUCGUGCGCGAAGGAAGAAUCCAUGUUGGCGAGGCUGUCUGAUUUAAACAUGAACAUGACGGAUCUCAUGCAAUCAUUCCUCCUGCCAGAUUCGUGUCAGACAGUUGACCCUCUACACGUUUUGGGGAUACAGCCUACCGACGUUCCUCCCGAGAGGGUGCUCGCUAGGUUCAUCUUCAAGGUGAUCAGCUGGGUCGGCGCCAAGGUGUACAGUUUCUUAGGCCUCGUUGACCACGAAGCAAACGACCCGUUCGUUCCGUUCGCCGAGUCUUUGGACAGCGAUCGUUACUUGCUCCAACAGUUCGCAUUCUUUCUGCAGUUGUGUAUCCACAUGUUCGAAUCCGGCAGUCACUGCAAGGUAGCUAACGCCACCAUGCAGAUGAUUCAAGGUCGCGGCGUGCCCGACGAAGAGAAGCUACCGAUAGCCGAUCUGAACCGUUUGAUGCUGAGCAUUGGGAACAGAUGUCCUGUGCUAACGUGCCAGUGGGCCUACCUGAUGACCCUGUUAGGCUACAAUGAGAUGUCCUUCUGGUCGAAGGUGUUGGGCACACAUCAGCAGCCUCUUGCCGAAGAGAAGAAAACCGAACGGCCCAGCAACAUCAACAUCCACAUUAUCAAAAAAGGCGGCAACAUCCUGUUUUGCGACUAUGUAUGCGAAAAUCUAAGCGACGCCGAGCCGCUGACAUGGUUGUUGGUUAACCACACCGAGGACACAGUGAACAACGGCACCGAGAGCCCUGUCAGAGAUUUGCUGACAGCAGCUGUACACAGGAAUCCAGCUGCCAGCGGGCUGCUCGUGCAGGCGAUCGCUACCAAGUGCACGAACCUGUCGCAACCCAGCUUUGUCAAGCGUCUUUUGCAAUGUAUGGAGGGUGCUCAUCACUCGCAAAGUGGGGCGGUGCUGAUGACCUUGAUACCGAGAUUCUUGUCAACCAAGUACCUCGCGCUGUCCAGAAUGGCGGCGAAGAUAGCCAGCAGAAGAGUCGAGAUCCUCCUGACCACUGCAACCGCGGAUGUAAUAAACCAACUGGCAAAGGAAGAUUUCAUCAAGAUCAUGGACACUCUGCAAGCGACGAAGCUCGCCAAGAAGCACGGACCCCUGAUCAGUUUACUAAAUAAACUGGGUGUACAAUACUAUGAUUUGUCUCCGCUGGAGUUGGAUCAAUGCAGACCGUUCAAUCCGUCCACGGUGAAGAGCAUCCAACUUGAUCGCGGCUGGUUUCUGUCGCAGGUGAAGCUGCGUUGUUGCAACUCGUAUGCCGGUUACAGUCCUUCCGAGGCUGCUCAAUUGCUGAAAGACUUGGACUUCGACGACUGUCUGGACAUCCUUUCUUGCAAGGAAUUCAACAUCUCGAUCUUGAAACCGUGCAUAGUACUCGGCACCCGUACAACUAUCGAGAAGUGUCAGAGGCUGGAGCUGAAUGCAGCGCAAAACCGGAAGGAGGUCGACUUCGAGGCGAGCCCGUUGUACAAAGCUGCGAAGCAAUGUCUGUUGGAGCACGUCCGCAGAGUCACCGAUCUGAUGCCGAAGCCUCAUCACAUCUACAACCCCGGGCAACCGAGCGCGAACUCGAAGGAGCACAAGUAUGCGGUACGGUUGGACGAACUGUUGUCCGAGACCGUGUAUUGGGACAUACUCUUCAUGCUGAUCCCGGCCGUGAAGAUGUACGUGAAGACGCUGCCAAAGCUGGCCAGAUACAACUUGUCGAAGACGGAAUUAAAGUCGGAGGAGGACCUGGCCAAGUUUUCGGUGCUGUGUCUAGAGCUGACGCAUUGGAUGAUUCACUGGGACGAGAAGCAAACGAGGAAGCUGAGGCCGAGGGACAUGGAACUGGCCUUGAGCUGUGCUUCGGAGAUCUUGAAACAGCCCGUUCCGUGCAAAAUCAUUGGCGACAGCGCGAGGUACUCGUGGGUCUGUAGCGCCACAGCCUCCCUGGCGAGAGUCGUCGAACAUUUGCUAACGACGAUUGACUCUUUGCCGGUUAUAGAUACUCGGGCUUUACUGCCAGCCCUCGAGGACGAGGAUACCAAAGAGUUCGCGCAAGCUUGCACGCGAAUGGCAGCGUUGGUCGCCUGGCUGGAACAGUACCAGAAGGAGGGCGCCUCGAAGAGCAUUCCACAGUACCUCUUCGAUACGAUAGAGGACUUGAUAGUGAGCAUCAGCCGGCAGCCGUUGGUCAACUCCUACAUCCUGACACCACCGUUAGUUUGGAAGCAGCAUUGGGACGUGGUUGGCGGAGGGCCAACCAAAUGCUACUUCCCGCUAAUGUCGUCGGAGUCGAAUUUGUUGCUGGAGGUGGAGAUCCUCGAGCAGUUUAUUUACAGGAUCAAUCUGCUAGGUUGGAUCUCCCGGCUGCAAUUCGAGGAGAUCUGGAUGGCUCUUCUGAGCGUGUUGAAUCUUGCUCAGAACGAGGCCGUCGUCUCCGACGAGAUUCCCACGUUGAUACAAGCAAGCAGCCUGGCCGUACAAGCGAUCACCAGGCUGUUGUUGCAGACCCUGUAUCUUCCAUACCCUGGCCAUCCCAGGGCUAGCACUCUGAUACAUCAUCCGAGGGAUCCUCAGCUCGCCGUUACCAAAGUCAGCUCGCAGAAGCUGUUCGCGAUCCAGGAUAUGCUCGCGUGGAGGUACGAGUGCAUGAACGAUUCCGAGACUUCAGGAGGAUUGAGAAUGGACCACGUGUUCCAUCGGGGGAACGUGGAGAGAACAGCCAAUUCGAACACUUACGCCUACAGUCAGCUCUCUGUAUCCUAUCUGUGGGCCCUAUGCAAUCUGUACGAAGAUAAAUUGAACGCCUCCGUUCUGAACUUGAAGAACAGAAGGAACGACGCGCUGAUGUCUUCGUCAUUGGACUUGGACUCCUGUCUGCGCUUUCUGGUGGAGCUCUACACGUCUUGGACCUCGCCGCAGUUCAACACGCCUGUGCAGCUGUUGACCGAGACCGUGAAAUCCAUUUUAGCGAUUUCUGAACUGUUUAUCGAAAGAAGCCAGUACCAGUGGAUGCUGGACACAUGCCUGGAAAUCUCAAGGGUCCAUCCUACAGAAAACGUGAUCCUGCAUCAAUAUCUAAUCAUGUCUGUCUGCAAGGCUUCGGCUGUCUUAACGCCGCUGGAUUUCGAGACGCUGGACAAAGUGAAGCGUCAAGUGGACACUAAUCUCAAAUCCGGUUUCCUGCCAGCGAGAGUGGCCGCUCUUCAUGGCGCACUGUACUUGUUGCAGAGCGCCGUGUUGACAAACUGCGAGGAAAUGAUGAACAUUAUAAACCCUCUGGCGAUAGAGUAUAUUCAGAAACACUUUGACGCACAGGAUUCCUACAGCGUAUUGAGUCAAAGCGAGGAGCAUCAAGGUGUAAUGUGGGCCCUGGUAUUUUUCCUACUGGAGCACGUGGAGGAUACACCGCCGGAUGCCGAAGUCCCUGCCGUUUUGGAACGGGUUCUAAUUCUGCUAAAUUCUCAGAACAUCUCCUCCAGUUUACACCAGACUCUCCUGCAGGGCUUGGAACGACUAGUGGUCACCAAGAGCGUGAUAGGGAAAGUGGUCGAGCAAAUUGUUAAGGUCGCUAUAGAUCGGAUGAAGCAGCCCAGCCCCAUGCUGUCGCUACCAGCCUUGCAGCUGCUGUUGACCUGCAUGUACACGGAAGCGUCCGACAGACUGAAUCAACCGGAAAUCGAGGAGCCAUUGCCGGACUUGGAACCGGAAGCUUUGGUGCGUUCCAUAGAACGUACCUCGGCGAUUUUCGACAAGAUUAGGAGAGGACACACCAUGGAGGUGGAGCUGCUCUGCGCGGUUCUAUCCGCCGUUCUAGGGGACUUCUUCCCGCCGUCUGAAAUCCUGACCAAAGUUAUAGGGGAAUUCCUGUCACCGCAGCAGCCUCACCCAAGAUUACUUUCUGCUGUAGUAUUCAAAGUGUGCGAGAGAGCCUGCACCUCGGCCCAGAUGGAGCUACUCCAGGACUGGGUAGUGUUCAGUUUGCCAAAUUUUAUUCAGAGUCUGCCAGUGACUAUGUCGAUCUGGUGCCUGUCCUGUUUCUUCAUUAGUUCGUCCACGAAUCGAUGGCUUAGAGCCAUAUUCCCCUACGUUCAGUCGAGAAUCGGCAAAUACGAGUACGAGGACAAGAAGAUACUCUGCAUUGCCGCGUCUGAUUUUUAUCACAAGUUGACCAAGGACACACAGAGGCAAGCGUUCGUGGAGACGUUCGAGGCGGCAGCGAAGGAGCCGGGGGCUCCUUUCGGCGACAUUUUAGCGUCGUUUUAGCUAGUCUUGUUAAUUAUCGCGGUGCGUGAGAGAGAGCUGGAAAUCAAAAUAUCGGGAGGCACUCGUGGGAGACGGUGAACUGUUCGGUCUCCUUGUAAAUUGAUGUACAAUCAUGGUGCGGACGCCAACGUGUCGCAUGUGUACAGUUGAACCCACCCCCUCCGCCCUAAACUCCGAGGAAACUUUUCUUCUUCCUCUGGCUCGCCCGUCUCGCGUAAAAGCAUGCGUGCACCGACAUGAAGUAGAUUAUUUCCACGAAGGAUAACACGCUGGCGCCCAGGAGCAAUCCCGCAGCUCCGCCGACGCUGCCUAAGAUAGAACAUCCUUUAGUUGAUUCCCUCGCGAUUGGAUCAAGUACUUACUUAAAAAAUCGCUGAAGCCGUACAACAGCGAUCGGUGGAAGAUCUGGGUCGGAAAAUGGACCUCCAUUACGAUGGACGACGAGACACCGCUGAUUGUAACGCCAGUAUCUCUGAAACGAUUAAGCGGCAUCAGUUUAGAGCACCUGUUAACACCGUCGGACAGAUAAGCUCCAGCAAGUCCGAUACAUUUGGCUUAUUUUGGUAUCCGCGAUCGAGUACUCGUAGCUGUCGCAGCUCGGAAUGCAUUUGCAAUAUGUUGGCGGGCUGCUGAACAGAAACAGCUUCUCUUUGAUGCUUCCGAUGCAACGCAGUUGCGCGGAGUUGCAUGUCUCGACUCCGUCUGAAAGUAGAGAUCGGGCCCCUCUCAGUGCCAAUACGGACCACAGCUGAACCGCUCUCGAACGAUGCCCUACGAACCUACGGGCCUGGCGAAGUGCGGCCGACACUUGCAUAGCUGUUGAAUCGUUCGCAUUCUGCACUCCAUCAUGCACAUGUUCUUCGAGUAGAUC